CGUUCUGAGAUGCGUGGCGUCCAAGCAGGAGUACAGCCCGGACAAAGUGGCAUCCCUGGCUUCGCUCAGGAAGGUGAGAUCCCCAUCGACUCCCCUGCUCGGGACGACCCCCCUGCCGGGAAUGACGAUGAGACCCGAGAUGCAGUCAUCUGGUAUGAUGCGGAACAUGAACCCCAAGAACCCCAACCUGCUCCCACCUGUCCCUUAGUGGCAGAAGAAAUUGACAUGGAAGAUACGGCUGGGAUGCCGGAGGAAACCACAGUAACGGUGCGCCGCUCAGCGAGACCUACAGCAGGGCAGCAUUCCAAUCCGCACCGUCUACCCAAGACAAUGAGUGUCAUGGAUGACAGUCCAUCAGGCAUAGAGGGUGAGGACUCCCGGACAUGAGGCGUCAUCGUCGGGCCGCCGAUUCAUUUGGAGGGGGUGGAUUGUGGCCUGUGGGAUUAGGUCUCUUUCCCCGUACCGCUGACGUCACCUAAUAGGGGUGGGACAGGUGGGCGGUUGCGAUCAGGCAGAUGUAAAGGCACCCGGGGUCCUCAUGCCGGUAAGGCACACGGGGUCCUCAUGCCGGUAGCAGCAGGGUCUAGAGGUGUGGGUCGCAGCGCAAGUGAUCGUUGAGUGCUCGCCGACGGUGACACUGUCUGUGCGAGUGAUGAACCUGGGUCUGCGUUCAGCGAUCCCGAUGGGAGAAGGAACAAGACGCUACCGGCAAUCCGAGUGUCGGCUGCUGUUCUCGUGUUUGGGGUGAAUGAGAUACGUGUGCAGGUGCUACUUCUAGGACGCGUUUUGUAUUUCUGUUCGUUUGGUUGUUUGCUUCAUGUGUUCUUUUUUGUUUCUUUCUUUCCCCCUAGUCGGUGGACUUUGAGAUUUGUGUUUUUUUUGUUUUAUGUACUAAUGGGCGUCCUAUUGUAUUGACGACCUACAGCGACUAACUUUUAAUUAAAUGUGAAUAAAGAAUAUAUUUCUAUACCUAUAAGUCAAGCCUGUGCGUGCGUUUCUAGAGUAAAAUAGAGUGCCCCUGCUCUUGUCCUAGGGGUGGCGUUGUCCGCAUUACUCAGUCUA